UCCACAUAGAAAACAUGUUUCAGAGACUGAAUAAUAACAUUCCUUUCAAUUAAUCUUAUAAAAUCAUUUGAGUAAUACAAAAGAGAAGAUGAUGCAGAGAGAGAGAGCAGAUGAGAGAUGUCACGUCCCCUCAAAACACACAAAUAAUAAAACAAAAAUAAAAAAAAAUCACAAACCCCAAAGAAAAACAUUUUUUAAAAACUUCUGUAAUUUUACAAUUUAACCCAUCUUCCAGAUCGAUAUUUACACUCCAUGCCACUC
rnacentral:lncRNA from 1 species